UAUAAAAAAAAGAAAAUAAUUUCAUCAUUUUAAGAGUCCACUCUCUAAAAUCCAAAUCACUAAAAUUAUUUUUCUUUGGAGCCCAAAAAGGUCCAACACCAAUUUAUAAAGAUAGAUCUCCACCACCUCCUUCAUGCUUGAUUACUUUCCCCACAUCAAGCCACGUACGUAGCUAUCCUCCACCUCAUGCUUAGAUUACAAUCACCUCCUGCACACUAAAUCAAAAACUUAAUCACAAAGAGUCCUAACAAUAUAUGCUUCGUCCACAAUUUUCCUUCAUCAAUUUUGUUUCAUCAAAUGGCUAGAGAUCAAGAAUUAGAGAUAUGAGAGUAAAGAAAGUUCCUUUCUUAAAAGCAAAUUCAAUUCCAGCUUCUGGUUAUCUCCGCAAGUUAAGGUCGGAACGAGAAAAUCAAGUUAAGGAAAUUAAACGAACGAGGUUGAGCAGUGACGGUGGGGAAUGCUGAGCAGAGUUUAUGAUUUUCUUUAUAUUUUAAGUAGAGGCUCUCAGAGGUGCAUGUCUCCAUACAUGUGACCGUGUUCAUUCCGCUGCGUAGUGUUCUUCUAUACUCUGAUAAUUAUUUAUUGAAGAGUAAGAUUUCCAUUCAA